UACGUAGGGGGCCAGCGUUGUCCGAAGUUACUGGGCGUAAAGAGCGCGUAGGCGGGUCUUUUAAGUGAGAGGUGAAAUUCUGAGGCUCAACCUCGGAACUGCCUUUCAUACUGGGGACCUUGAGUGCGGGAGAGGCGAGUGGAAUGGUCGGUGUAGCGGUGAAAUGCGUAGAUAUCGAUCGGAACACCCAUGGCGAAGGCAGCUCGCUGGCCUGCAACUGACGCUGAGGCGCGAAAGCCGGGGGAGCAAACAGG
rnacentral:rRNA from 1 species